rnacentral:rRNA from 1 species
GCCUACGGGACGCAGCAGUGGGGAAUAUUGCACAAUGGGCGAAAGCCUGAUGCAGCGACGCCGCGUGAGGGAUGGAGGCCUUCGGGUUGUAAACCUCUUUCGCUCAUGGUCAAGCCGCAGCUUUGGGUUGUGGUGAGGGUAGUGGGUAAAGAAGCGCCGGCUAACUACGUGCCAGCAGCCGCGGUAAUACGUAGGGCGCGAGCGUUGUCCGGAAUUAUUGGGCGUAAAGGGCUUGUAGGCGGUUGGUCGCGUCUGCCGUGAAAUCCUCUGGCUUAACUGGGGGCGUGCGGUGGGUACGGGCUGUC